GGGAUGGGGUCGCGGCCCAUUAGGUAGUAGGCGGGGUAACGGCCCACCUAGCCCGCGAUGGGUAGCCGGGUUGAGAGACCGACCGGCCACAUUGGGACUGAGAUACGGCCCAGACUCCUACGGGAGGCAGCAGUGGGGAAUUUUGCGCAAUGGGGGAAACCCUGACGCAGCAACGCCGCGUGCGGGACGACGGCCUUCGGGUUGUAAACCGCUUUCAGCAGGGAAGAAAUUCGACGGUACCUGCAGAAGAAGCUCCGGCUAACUACGUGCCAGCAGCCGCGGUAAUACGUAGGGAGCGAGCGUUAUCCGGAAUCAUUGGGCGUAAAGAGCGCGUAGGCGGCCUCUCAAGCGGGAUCUCUAAUCCGAGGGCUCAACCCCCGGCCGGAUCCCGAACUGGGAGGCUCGAGUUCGGUAGAGGCAGGCGGAAUUCCCGGUGUAGCGGUGGAAUGCGCAGAUAUCGGGAAGAACACCGAUGGCGAAGGCAGCCUGCUGGGCCGCAACUGACGCUGAGGCGCGAAAGCUAGGGGAGCGAACAGGAUUAGAUACCCUGGUAGUCCUAGCCGUAAACGAUGGAUACU
rnacentral:rRNA from 1 species